AGUCGAGCGGACGGAUGGGAGCUUGCUCCCUGAAGUCAGCGGCGGACGGGUGAGUAACACGUGGGCAACCUGCCUGUAAGACUGGGAUAACUUCGGGAAACCGGAGCUAAUACCGGAUAAUGCAUAACCUCUCAUGAGGUUAUGCUGAAAGAUGGUUUCGGCUAUCACUUACAGAUGGGCCCGCGGCGCAUUAGCUAGUUGGUGAGGUAACGGCUCACCAAGGCAACGAUGCGUAGCCGACCUGAGAGGGUGAUCGGCCACACUGGGACUGAGACACGGCCCAGACUCCUACGGGAGGCAGCAGUAGGGAAUCUUCCGCAAUGGACGAAAGUCUGACGGAGCAACGCCGCGUGAGUGAUGAAGGUUUUCGGAUCGUAAAACUCUGUUGUUAGGGAAGAACAAGUGCCGGAGUAACUGCCGGCACCUUGACGGUACCUAACCAGAAAGCCACGGCUAACUACGUGCCAGCAGCCGCGGUAAUACGUAGGUGGCAAGCGUUGUCCGGAAUUAUUGGGCGUAAAGCGCGCGCAGGCGGUCUCUUAAGUCUGAUGUGAAAGCCCACGGCUCAACCGUGGAGGGUCAUUGGAAA
rnacentral:rRNA from 1 species